GAUGAACGCUGGCGGCGUGCCUAAUACAUGCAAGUCGAGCGAACGGACGAGAAGCUUGCUUCUCUGAUGUUAGCGGCGGACGGGUGAGUAACACGUGGAUAACCUACCUAUAAGACUGGGAUAACUUCGGGAAACCGGAGCUAAUACCGGAUAAUAUUUUGAACCGCAUGGUUCAAAAGUGAAAGACGUUCUUGCUGUCACUUAUAGAUGGAUCCGCGCUGCAUUAGCUAGUUGGUAAGGUAACGGCUUACCAAGGCAACGAUGCAUAGCCGACCUGAGAGGGUGAUCUGCCACACUGGAACUGAGACACGGUCCAGACUCCUACGGGAGGCAGCAGUAGGGAAUCUUCCGCAAUGGGCGAAAGCCUGACGGAGCAACGCCGCGUGAGUGAUGAAGGUCUUCGGAUCGUAAAACUCUGUUAUUAGGGAAGAACAUAUGUGUAAGUAACUGUGCACAUCUUGACGGUACCUAAUCAGAAAGCCACGGCUAACUACGUG
rnacentral:rRNA from 1 species